rnacentral:rRNA from 1 species
UACGUAGGGUCCAAGCGUUGUUCGGAAUUACUGGGCGUAAAGCGCGCGUAGGCGGGCUUGUAAGUUGAUUGUGAAAGCCCUGGGCUUAACCCGGGAAUGGCAGUCAAAACUACAAGUCUUGAGUGCCUGAGAGGAUGGCGGAAUUCCCGGUGUAGCGGUGAAAUGCGUAGAUAUCGGGGAGGAACACCUGUGGCGAAAGCGGCUCACUGGACCACAACUGACGCUGAUGCGCGAAAGCUAGGGGGAGCAAACAGG